GAUGAACGCUAGCGGCAGGCCUAAUACAUGCAAGUCGAACGGUGUCUUCGGACAUAGUGGCGCACGGGUGCGUAACACGUAUGCAACCUACCUUACAUUGGGGGAUAGCCUUUCGAAAGGGAGAUUAUUACCGCAUAAGACAGUAGCUGGGCAUCCAGCAGCUGUUAAAGAUUUAUCGAUGUAAGCUGGGCAUGCGUCCAAUUAGCUAGUUGGUGAGGUAACGGCUCACCAAGGCAAUGAUUGGUAGGGGAACUGAGAGGUCAAUCCCCCACACUGGCACUGAGGUAAGGGCCAGACUCCGACGGGGGGCAGCCGUAGGGGAUAUUGGGCAAUGGGCGCAAAUCUGACCCAGCCAUGCCGCGGGCAGGAUGAAGGCGUUAUGCGUUGUAAACUGCUUUUAUAUAGGAAGAAACGACUCUUGCGAGAGGCAUUGACGGUACUGUACGAAUAAGCACCGGCUAACUCCGUGCCAGCCGCCGCGGUAAAAC
rnacentral:rRNA from 1 species